GGAAAAGCGGAUUUGCUAAGGCUGAGCUGGAAUUUUUGGCGGCGACGGCAGAGAUCCUCAAGGAAAUGAGCAGCGAGGUUUCUUGCCAGCCCUACUGAUGUCCUAGGCUGAACUUGUUCCUCACUCACUUCACGCCAAAGACAGCUUGAAUCAGCCAAGGAUAAUUUUGAGUCUGACCAACUCCACCCUCCCAAUAAAGGAGAAAAGGUUGACUUCACUAGUCUUCUGCUCAGACCUUCACAAUUAGGUUUGGUUUCCAUCUCAUAGCAUCCCGAGGUGGAGAUUUAUUUGGGAACCUAAAAGGCUUCAGCACCUGUGAGUAAGAGCCUGUGGGACCCCGUGGCGGUGCUGUAUGGCGUGAUGUGAUUGUGCAGCGUCCAGCUUGGUCAUGGGUAGACUUUGGCUUCAUCAGCUGCUUGGGCACACAACGCGGUACAGUGUUCCAUGCAUAGCUUGGAGAGUUGUAUGGGAUCGUUGUUCAAAGUGAACUUGACAUGGGAUGUAAAACUGAAAUCAGUUCUGAUGUUUUAAGUGGAAUACAAAAAUAUCACAUAGUAUUUCUUGAAAACCUUAGAGAAAACAUGAUAAUGCAUUGAGAAACUCUCUAGAAGAAGCAACACCUCCAUCUUGCAGUGUGCAAAUGCUUCUAUGAAGCUUUACAGACUGUCUGGACUGACUUCUAUUACCAUGAAAACAGCAGGACCUGUUUGUAAACAGGGGUGAAUGAGCAGGAGUAGAACACCACAACAGGCAAGGGAGUGAAAGGACAAACUUCUUAGGAGUAAGAAAGAAGUGGAAAGCUGAAAGACAAGAAUAUCCGCCGGUUAGGACAUUAAAGUGUCCUUUGAGUUUGGAUAGCUUAUUGGAAAAAAAACCUUAAUGGAAAACACAGAAUCAGAGAACAGGGUGUAAUGAAAAUGCUUUCAGUCUCUCACAACAGUGUCUUGAGCAUCUCUGCAAGUGUUUGGGAAAUGAAGUGGGAUGAGAAGAAAGCUCAUGAAUUUUGUUAAUCUUCGGUGUCUCUGUUCACUGUCAUUUGCUUUGUUUGAGAAUUCAGAGGAAAGGAAUCAGUUUCUUGUGAAACAGAAUAGAGAAAGUGGUUUUGUUUCCUGGCAAAAAUAUGACUAAUACAUUCUGUGUAUAAAUGUCUCUAUAGCCUGAGAGCUGAGUGAGGUCAGAAGACACUUAGACAGCAAUAUGCCUCUGACCCCAGUACUUAUAAUGGCACAGUGUUUUAUGUACAGCUUUUUUACAUUAUGGGUUUCAUCCACUAAACUAAACCUUAAUUUAAACUUGCUCAUCUAACACUGUUGCUUGCAGUUUCAAAGUCUUGAUUGGAGAUAAGGUGAAAUUUUCCUAGCUUUAAAAUAAAAGUUUAGCAAAAAAGGAAGCGGGGAGGGGGAAAAAAAAAGUUAAGGAGAAAAUCAAUGAUAAUGGAGUGCAGGUGGAGCUCAUUUGGGGUAAUGAGGUUCUGAAUGGAUGUUUUGCAAACAGAACACUUUUUGUGACCUAACAGCUCAGCCAAUUCACAUGCUGUUUGUAAAUGGUUUGUUUUGUUCCUUCUGAACUCAAGUGGAAAUGGAGAUUUCUUCUGGUGUCUUGGUGCUUCGGAGAGGGAGGUACGAAUUAGCAAGCUGCCAUUUAAACAUUCUCCCUUAUUAUGCUUGAGCUGCUCUGGUUUCCUGCUUGCCUUCUCAGUCAGAGGGACUGAAACCACACUGACAAACAAAUGAGUUUGGGAACUGGGAUUUUGGAAUUAUUUUGGCCACAGAGAUGAUAAACGCUCACUCAGUUCUCUCAUGGGCGCGGUGGCUACCGGGGCUGCUCACGGGGCUCUGUAACACAGUGUUCAGGGAGCUCGAGUUCAGAGUUCAGCUUGUACAAAGGAUUACUUAAGUCUGUGGUUGGCAUCCUAUGUGAGAAAAUGCGUUGCGAGGAGAGAAACAAAGAUGUUGUGACAGCUCCUGUGUAUAGAAAUUGAAUAUUAAAUCAUACAGGCUGUGUGGGGCACAAAUACAGGGCUUCUGGCAGGGCUUCUGAGUUCAGCAUAACCUGUCAACUCAGUUUUGGGCUCGUAAAUAUACAGUGGACCUCUGGCCCCUGGCACUACUUGGUUUAAUAAGGCCCGUUAUUCGCUAUAAAACAUCUAUAUUCUGUAUUACUGGAUAUGGAAUACAUUCCCAAACAUCUUCAGGCACUUGAUUUCUGAGUCAUUAGCUGGAGUGACUCAUCGUAUUUUCCCUGAAUGAAAAAAGGGGGGGAAAAAAAGAGGGAGAAAGAGAGUAUAAAAUGCAGAAACAGCAUUUGCAACUUUUUCUUGCUGUUCUAAGGAAGCAACCAUACUGCAAAGCAUCCCUUUGCCACGGUCCUCAAUAAGAUAUGAUUAUCCCUUGUGUAAGGAGAAGUGGAGAUGAAGACCAGAACUACAUGAUGCAAAUUGUAUAGCACAAAUAAGAAUUCCCAUCUACAAAAGAGAGCAGUAGCAAGACCUGAGGGUGAUUAAGGAUAAUGCAUUAGCCAUCUGCACAAUGUCUGGUAGCAUCAGGAAGGUAAACAAAGACUUAGCAUGUAUUAUGUCUCUGAAAGCGAGAUGUAUAAAUCAGAGGUUAAAUAUGCACAAGGAAAGCAAUAGAAGAGCCUCAUGUGGAAUACUCAGAGCUUUUCUUUUUGAGAUAUUACAUGAAGACUAUACGAAACUGGAAAAGAUUAAAAAUCUGUGACAGAAGGUACCUAGACUAACCCUAGAAACAAAGGAAAUGCUUCGUAAGGAAUGAGAAACCAGACCCUGUCAGCACGCGCAAAGGAAACUGAGACCUCGGAGAAAAAUCUAAGCUUUAAAAUACCCUAAAAGAGAAAGACAGAUGCCAGUGCAAGGCAUUUAAAUACACUAACAGCUAAUUGAAAAACAAACAUGUAAGGGUCUAAAUGAAGGCAGAGAUUAGUAGCCUAGAGUAAUUUGACAGGACUGAGAUGUGCACAAGUAGCUGUUGCAUGCUAUAAAAUAAAAAAGACUGCAUCAGCUCAAAGGAGUACUUUACUAACUCACCAGAGCCAGGUCGUGCCGAGAAAGGACUUUAGGAAAGUAAAGAAAUUUGUCUUAUAGAUAACCUAUCCAUGCUAAUGGGUUCAAAAAGCAAUUGGUCUUCUCUGGCAUGGGUCUGGUUUAGCUUUGAUGAGUAUGCAUGUGGCAUAAUCUGCAGUUCAACAGUAAAAUCCACCCCUAACAAAAAUUUCAGGAUCUGUCUUACAAGGUACUCUUGCAGUAGAACUUAAUGAAAGGCAUAAUGAUGGUGGGGGAAGAACAGUUGAGCUUUAAAUGAUGGGUUACAAAAAGAAACUUCUCCUGGAACCUCUAUGCAAAGACUUAUGGCACAGAGAUAAUCCCGAAGCAAAACAUCUUAAUUUUAUAUAGACUACUUUUCUCUAGUUGCCGCUGCACAUAACAAGACUGUCUUGAGAGAAAAAUCCACUUUAUUUUUUUAGGAGAACUCAGAGCCAUUAGAGAUUUUGAGAGGGAAACUGGUAGAGGUCUGCCCUCCCUUUGAAAAGGAAUUGAUUUCCAAAAGGAGUACUUAGUUUUCUUCUCAGGUCUUACAAUUCCUAAUCCAAGAUCAGUAAGUAGCGGAACAGGGGUUAAGGAAAAGGGAUGGAAUAAAAGCUUCCUGUUCUCAGUAAUAAAAAGCCCUUUGAGAAAAAGCAACGGUAGAUGGCUGCUGUCUUCUGGCAGAGUUUCCCUGCGCAGAGCUGGCUCUCAGCUUUGCAGCAGUCUGGGCAAAUUUUGCAGAGAUGGUAGAGAGGGUUCUGAACAGCAGGAGAGAAACAGAAGGAUUUUCCGCUUUCUUUACAUACCAACCACCCCUCUGAGUCACAGGG